rnacentral:rRNA from 1 species
CAGUCGCCGCGGUAAUACAGAGGGUGCAAGCGUUAAUCGGAUUUACUGGGCGUAAAGGGCGCGUAGGUGGUUAUUUAAGUGAGAUGUGAAAGCCCCGGGCUUAACCUGGGAACUGCAUCUUAUACUGGGUAACUGGAGUGCAGUAGAGGGUAGUGGAAUUUCCGGUGUAGCGGUGAAAUGCGUAGAUAUCGGAAGGAACACCAGUGGCGAAGGCGGCUACCUGGACUGAGACUGACACUGAGGCGCGAGAGCGUGGGGAGCAAACAGGAUUAGAUACCCCUGUAGUCCCUGUCUCUUAUAC